CCUACGGGGGGCAGCAGUGAGGAAUAUUGGUCAAUGGGCGCGAGCCUGAACCAGCCAAGUAGCGUGAAGGAUGACUGCCCUACGGGUUGUAAACUUCUUUUGUAAAGGAAUAAAGUGCGGCACGUGUGCCUUUUUGUAUGUAAUUUAUGAAUAAGGAUCGGCUAACUCCGUGCCAGCAGCCGCGGUAAUACGGAGGAUCCGAGCGUUAUCCGGAUUUAUUGGGUUUAAAGGGAGCGUAGAUGGGUUGAUAAGUCAGUUGUGAAAGUUUGCGGCUCAACCGUAAAAGUGCAAUUGAUACUGGCAGUCUAGAGUACAGUUGAGGUAGGCGGAAUUCAUGGUGUAGCGGUGAAAUGCUUAGAGAUCACGAAGAACUCCGAUUGCGAAGGCAGCUUACUAAACUGCCACUGACAUUGAUGCUCGAAAGUGUGGGUAUCAAACAGGAUUAGAUACCCUUGUAGUC
rnacentral:rRNA from 1 species